AGACUAACAAGGAUCCCUAGUAACUGCGAGUGAAGCGGGAAAAGCUCAAAUUUAAAAUCUGGUGGUCUUUGGCCAUCCGAGUUGUAAUUUAGAGAAGCGUCUUCCGCGCUGGACCGUGCACAAGUCUCCUGGAAUGGAGCGUCAUAGAGGGUGAGAAUCCCGUCUUUGGCAUGGAUCCCAGGGCUUCUGUGAUGCGCUCUCGACGAGUCGAGUUGUUUGGGAAUGCAGCUCAAAAUGGGUGGUGAACUCCAUCUAAAGCUAAAUAUUGGCGAGAGACCGAUAGCGAACAAGUACCGUGAGGGAAAGAUGAAAAGCACUUUGGAAAGAGAGUGAAACAGUACGUGAAAUUGUUGAAAGGGAAACGCUUGAAGUCAGUCGCGUUGACCGAGACUCAACCUUGCCUUGGCUUGGUGUAUUUCUCGGCUGACGGGUCAGCAUCAAUUUUGACCCUUAGAUAAUGGCAAGGGAAAGGUGGCACCUUUUAGGUGUGUUAUAGUCCCAUGUCGCAUGUGAGGGUUGGGAUUGAGGAACUCAGCAUGCACCUCCGGGUGUCGGGGCUUCGGCCCACGUUACAUGCUUAGGAUGCUGGCGUAAUGGCUUUAAACG
rnacentral:rRNA from 1 species